UCUCCUAAGGCUAAAUACUCUCUAGUGACCGAUAGUGAACCAGUACCGUGAGGGAAAGGUGAAAAGCACCCCGGAAGGGGAGUGAAAUAGAACCUGAAACCGUGUGCUUACAAGUAGUCAGAGCCCGUUAAUGGGUGAUGGCGUGCCUUUUGUAGAAUGAACCGGCGAGUUACGAUUUGAUGCAAGGUUAAGCAGUAAAUGUGGAGCCGUAGCGAAAGCGAGUCUGAAUAGGGCGUUUAGUAUUUGGUCGUAGACCCGAAACCAGGUGAUCUACCCUUGGUCAGGUUGAAGUUCAGGUAACACUGAAUGGAGGACCGAACCGACUUACGUUGAAAAGUGAGCGGAUGAACUGAGGGUAGCGGAGAAAUUCCAAUCGAACCUGGAGAUAGCUGGUUCUCUCCGAAAUAGCUUUAGGGCUAGCCUCAAGUGAUGAUUAUUGGAGGUAGAGCACUGUUUGGACGAGGGGCCCCUCUCGGGUUACCGAAUUCAGACAAACUCCGAAUGCCAAUUAAUUUAACUUGGGAGUCAGAACAUGGGUGAUAAGGUCCGUGUUCGAAAGGGAAACAGCCCAGACCACCAGCUAAGGUCCCAAAAUAUAUGUUAAGUGGAAAAGGAUGUGGCGUUGCCCAGACAACUAGGAUGUUGGCUUAGAAGCAGCCAUCAUUUAAAGAGUGCGUAAUAGCUCACUAGUCGAGUGACACUGCGCCGAAAAUGUACCGGGGCUAAACAUAUUACCGAAGCUGUGGAUUGUCCUUUGGACAAUGGUAGGAGAGCGUUCU
rnacentral:rRNA from 1 species